rnacentral:rRNA from 1 species
CCUACGGGAGGCAGCAGUGGGGAAUAUUGCGCAAUGGGCGAAAGCCUGACGCAGCGACGCCGCGUGAGGGAUGAAGGUCUUCGGAUCGUAAACCCCUGUCAGCAGGGAAGAAAGGUCACUGUGCUAAUCAGCAGUGAAUUGACGGUACCUGCAAAGGAAGCACCGGCUCACUCCGUGCCAGCAGCCGCGGUAAGACGGAGGGUGCGAGCGUUAAUCGGAAUUACUGGGCGUAAAGGGCUCGUAGGCGGUAUGUCAAGUCAAGGGUGAAAUCCCCGCGCUCAACGUGGGAACUGCCUUUGAAGCUGGCAAACUGGAGUGGGUGAGAGGAUAGUGGAAUUCCAGGUGUAGGAGUGAAAUCCGUAGAUAUCUGGCGGAACAUCAGUGGUGAAGGCGACUAUCUGGCACAUAACUGACGCUGAGGAGCGAAAGCGUGGGUAGCAAACAGGAUUAGAUACCCCUGUAGUC